CACCGGCGGCCCGAGUGGUAACCGCUUUUAUUGGGUCUAAAGGGUCUGUAGCCGGCCAAGUAAGUCCUUUGGGAAAUCUGGUAGCUCAACUAUCAGGCUGCCAGGGGAUACUGCUUGGCUUGGGACCGGGAGAGGUGAGAGGUACCUCGGGGGUAGGGGUGAAAUCUUGUGAUCCUCGAGGGACCACCAGUGGCGAAGGCGUCUCACCAGAACGGGUCCGACGGUAAGGGACGAAAGCUAGGGGCACGAACCGGAUUAGAUACCCGGGUAGUCCUAGCCGUAAACGAUGCUCGCCAGGUGUCAGUCACGGUGCGACCGUGAUAGGUGCCGUAGGGAAGCCGUGAAGCGAGCCACCGUGGGAAGUAUGGCCGCAAGGCCUAGAAACUUAAAGGAAUUGGCGGGGGAGCACUACGAACGGGUGGAGCCUGCGGUUC
rnacentral:rRNA from 1 species